GUGUAGUAUAUUAAUUUACUCAAUAGGGCACUGGAGGAGGAUCACUCUUCAUUCUGUACUAAUAAAAGUGUUGAUAAUUGUGGCAACACUGACACUGAAGGACUGCUAGUAUUAAAGGACAUUGCAGCUGCUAAUCAAGGAAUAUACGUGUGUACAGCUACACUUGAUAAUGUCACUAGCUCUGUGAUUCGACAAAUUCAAAUUGGAGAGCCUCCUGUGAUUGAGAAGAGUCCUAUUAGUGUGGUUGCUCGUGAUCCUCCAUCUUACGUUAUUUUUGAAGCAGCAGCAAGAGGAAACCCACCACCAGUACUGAGAUGGUAUCACAACUCAAAUGAAAUUGACUUCAAAAUACCACAAAGAUGUAUUUGACCAGUAUAGGGUCAUUGAUUAUAUUAGGUCCUCAGUUUGAGGAUAAUGGUCAAUAUAAAGUAGUGGCAGACAAUGGAGCAGGAUCAGUAGAAGCAGCUGCCAGUCUUACAAUAAUACUUUAGGUCAGCCUGCAAUAGAGGGUCUGGUUGCUCUAAUGAUGGACAGUGUCUCCCAGUACAUUACUGCAGGUCUCCUGAUGGCUAUUCUGGUGAUGGAUGUGAGGAAAGCCAGGAAACACCUCCUUCUACAAUCCCUACUACACCUCUUCCUAGUUCUGGUGAUUAUUAUUAUUCUGGUGAUUAUUACUAUUCUGGUGACUAUUACUAUUCUGGUGAUAAUGAGAAUGAUUAUAAAAGAAAGAAAAGAGGUGUUGCAUAUUCGCAGUAUGAUUAUGAUUUUACUGACAUGUCGGUAUCAUCAAGUUGUAAAAA